rfam:Schistosoma mansoni strain Puerto Rico chromosome 5, complete genome
GCUUUGCUGAGGAAUCCCACAAUAGGAUGAAACGACCGUCCAGUGC